rnacentral:lncRNA from 1 species
GAAAUUCGACCAUCUCAUUUCUCCAAUUUCUUGCCAUGAAUGUAUAGAUCUCGCAUCACUGAGCAUGCUGAUAUAAUUUGUUUUGAAAAUGGAUGGAUAUUGAUCAUGAUAUGUUGAUUUAAAGUUUGGUUGAUGAAAUUGUUUCCCUUCGAUCUGUGCGUGUUAGUGAGAUUUAGGUUGAAUGAGUGUGAUAUUCACGAUCCUGGUGAGAAGAGCUUUCGAUCCAUGUAUGAUACGUCCAUUUCUGGAAAUUUU